AGAGUUUGAUCCUGGCUCAGAUUGAACGCUGGCGGCAUGCCUUACACAUGCAAGUCGAACGGCAGCACGGGAGCAAUCCUGGUGGCGAGUGGCGAACGGGUGAGUAAUAUAUCGGAACGUGCCCAGUCUGGGGGAUAACGUAGCGAAAGCUACGCUAAUACCGCAUACGAUCUACGGAUGAAAGCGGGGGAUCGCAAGACCUCGCGCGAUUGGAGCGGCCGAUAUCAGAUUAGCUAGUUGGUGGGGUAAAGGCCCACCAAGGCGACGAUCUGUAGCUGGUCUGAGAGGACGACCAGCCACACUGGGACUGAGACACGGCCCAGACUCCUACGGGAGGCAGCAGUGGGGAAUUUUGGACAAUGGGCGCAAGCCUGAUCCAGCAAUGCCGCGUGCAGGACGAAGGCCUUCGGGUUGUAAACUGCUUUUGUACGGAACGAAACGGUUCUCUCUAAUACAGGGGGCUAAUGACGGUACCGUAAGAAUAAGCACCGGCUAACUACGUG
rnacentral:rRNA from 1 species